GACAACAAAAUGUACAAAAAUUUAUUUUUCAGUAUAGGACAUCAGUUCUUUGUAACUCUAAAGCAUUUUUUGUAAGAUUUAGACUUCAACUUUGUCAAUUGGAGCAUGGCAUGUCGACCACACUGUUGUGCUAUAGAUUGUAGUAAGUCAACCAAUCAAAAGGAAGAUUUCAAACCUAAAAGAGAUUUUGUGUUUGUGAGGUAGGUCAGUUCAAUAGAACCUUGUCAGUGUUGUUGGAUUUAUAUUCAUAAUUUACAAAAUGUUUUAAGUUUUCAACAUAUUUAUUUUAACUUGAGUUUGAGUGUCCACCGUUUAAUGCCUGAGUGUAUUAAGAUUUUUGUUAACCUGCAUUUUUUUCCCCCUAAUCAUGAUAAUUUUAGAAUUCUGCUGAGAUUGCCAUUUUGCCAAUUCUUGUUCUAAGUAGUGGCCAUGUUUGAAUUGUUAUACAGCUGAUGUCAAAGUGUGCAAUAGAUCGGGAACCAUGGCUCUUAUAAGCAUUACCCAAAGUGCAAUGAUUUGUAAUGAGUGUCUCUAUAGUAUGUUUAACCUUACCUAAAAUCCAUAUGUAAAAUUUUAUGGUUUGCUGUUAUGUAAAUUUCACCCAAGCUGUAUUUGAUACUGUGAAGUAUAUAGCUAUUUUUGUGAAAUCAUUAUUCAUUUUGAUUGAUGUACACUUAUGUAUUUAUGUUUGCAAUACAUAGAAAACUUGCACAGGGUCAACAUUUUUGGUAGAAAGGUCACAUGUAUGUAUCUGGGUCAUUAUAUAAGGCAUUACAACUUUGUUUAGUUAAUUGCAGGUUUAUGACUAUUAUCAUGACCAAAGCUGUUCUUGUGACUUUUUUUGCCAUGGAAUCAUCAAUUUAUACUUCUAAAGUGCUUGUAUUAUUUUAUUGGAUCUAGGGAGAACUGAGAUGCAUUAAUUUGUUACAAUUUUUGAUAACUUUAUGUAGAUAACUUUGUGUAGGCUUGUUGAGUCGGUAAUGGUGCCUAUUGUGUUGUGCUUGUCUCUUCUGAUUUAUUUUGAUAAAGCUUGUGUGUGAUUUUGAUAUUUACUUUUUUUGUGGUAAAGGAAUUUUGUAACUUGAAAUUUCUAUUGAAAUUGAAUAUGUAUGCGAAGAUAACUUUCCAAAAAGCCAAAGUGUAUAAUACUCUCAUAUUUGUAAUACUAGUACAUAUAAAACAGUUUCAUAAUGCUAGGAAACUGGAUAACACAAAAAAAAUUGUGAAUUUUUUUUGGACUAAAAUAAACUUGAGUUGUUUU
rnacentral:misc_RNA from 1 species